ACUCGACUAAACGAGUAUAAAUAGACAUUAAGUUUAGUGCGUUACCACUGUGAAAGGUGGUAGGUUGUA
rnacentral:ribozyme from 1 species